rnacentral:rRNA from 1 species
UAAUCGAAAAUAAAUUAAUUAUCGAUAUUAUAAAAUUUAAUAUUAGUACAAUUAAAUUGGUAAAAGAGCGUUUUGAUAAAAUAUUAUUUAUAUGUAAAUUAAAAUAAUAAAAUCAAAAGUGAUAAUGCUAAUUUGAGUAAUGUAAAUAUUGGUAAAAAUCCAAUACUUCUAUAAUUUAAGGUUUCCUAUUUAUAAUUUUUUUUAAUAGGGUUAGUCGAAUCUUAAAAUGAGAUGAAACGUGUAAUUGAUAGAUAAUAAGUUAAUAUUCUUAUACUAUAUUAUAAUUUAUAUUUUAAGACUAAUAUUAAUAAUUUUAAUAUUAUUUAUAUUAUAUAAAAAUUAUUAAUAUAUUUAUUAUAAUAUAUUCGUACCGUAAACUGACACUAGUAAAUAUAUAUAUAUUAUUAAGAAGUUAAGAUAAUUUUUUUUAAGGAACUCGGCAAUUUAAUCUUGUAACUUAGGGAUAAAAGAUACUUUUUAGUUGAAAAUAAAAAAUUUAAGCGACUGUUUAACAAAAACACAAAUCUUUGCUAAAUUGAAAAAUGAUGUAUAAAGAUUGACAUCUGCCCAGUGCUAUUAUGUUAAAAUAAUAUAUGUAAUUAAAUUAUAAUAUAUAUAUAAGCUAUAGUAAACGGCGGCUGUAUCUAUAACGGUCCAAAGGUAGCGAAAUUCCUUGUCGGGUAAGUUCCGACCUGCAUGAAAGAUGUAACGACUUAAAUGCUGUCUUAAAAAAAAUCUUAAUGAAAUAAAAUUAUCUGUGAAGAUACAGAUUUCUUAUAUUAGGACAGAAAGACCCUAUGAAGCUUUACUAUUAAUAAAUAAUGAAAAUAUAUAUAUUUAACAUAGUAUAAAUGGGAAACAAUAAUAUUAUUUUCUUGGAAAUAAUUUAGUUAAAAAUGAAAUACCAUUUUAUUUAUAUAUAAAUUCUUAUAGAAAUUUUAUAACAAAUUUUUAAACAAUAUUUAUGAGAUAGUUUGACUGGGGCGGUCUCCUCCUAUAUAUAAACGGAGGAGUACAAUGUUAUAUUUAUUAUAUAAAGAUAUAAUAUAUAAUU